rnacentral:rRNA from 1 species
UACAGAGGUCUCGAGCGUUGUUCGGAUUCAUUGGGCGUAAAGGGUGCGUAGGCGGCGCGGUAAGUCGGGUGUGAAAUCUCGGAGCUUAACUCCGAAACUGCAUUCGAUACUGCGGUGCUUGAGGACUGGAGAGGAGACUGGAAUUCAUGGUGUAGCAGUGAAAUGCGUAGAGAUCAUGAGGAAGACCAGUGGCGAAGGCGGGUCUCUGGACAGUUCCUGACGCUGAGGCACGAAGGUCAGGGGAGCAAACGGG